rnacentral:rRNA from 1 species
UAGCGUAUAUUAAAGUUGUUGCAGUUAAAACGCUCGUAGUCGGAUUUCGGGGCGGGCCGACCGGUCUGCCGAUGGGUAUGCACUGGCCGGCGCGUCCUUCCACCCGGAGACCGCGCCUACUCUUAACUGAGCGGGCGCGGGAGACGGGUCUUUUACUUUGAAAAAAUCAGAGUGUUUCAAGCAGGCAGUCGCUCUUGCAUGGAUUAGCAUGGGAUAAUGAAAUAGGACUCUGGUGCUAUUUUGUUGGUUUCGAACACCGGAGUAAUGAUUAACAGGGACAGUCAGGGGCACUCGUAUUCCGCCGAGAGAGGUGAAAUUCUCAGACCAGCGGAAGACGAACCACUGCGAAAGCAUUGG